UGAAGGACAAUACCGCAUAACAAUCAACCAUCUCUUGUAUAUGGAUGAUCUAAAAUUGUAUGCUGCAAAUGAUAAACAACUCGAAAUAUUAUUACAGACAGUACAUGGAUUUACCUAAGAAAUUAACAAUGAAAUUCGGCUU